rnacentral:pre_miRNA from 1 species
ACCUUUCUGAUGUUGAUGAUACUGCAUCAGGAACUGAUUGGAUGAGAUUCUGGAGCCACCAGUUCCUGAUGCAUCCCCUUCAGCAUCCACAGA